rnacentral:rRNA from 1 species
CGGCGGACGGGUGAGUAACACGUGGAUAACCUACCUAUAAGAUUGGGAUAACUUCGGGAAACCGGAGCUAAUACCGGAUAAUAUAUUGAACCGCAUGGUUCAAUAGUGAAAGACGGUUUUGCUGUCACUUAUAGAUGGAUCCGCGCCGCAUUAGCUAGUUGGUAAGGUAACGGCUUACCAAGGCAACGAUGCGUAGCCGACCUGAGAGGGUGAUCGGCCACACUGGAACUGAGACACGGUCCAG